AGAGUUUGAUCAUGGCUCAGAACGAACGCUGGCGGCGUGGAUAAGACAUGCAAGUCGAACGCUCAUUCCGGGGUAGCAAUAUUCCGGGGUGGGAGUGGCGCAAGGGUGCGUAACAUGUGGGUAAUCCGCCGUGAAGACUGGGACAACUUGCUGAAAGGCGAGCUAAUACCGGAUGUGAUGGCUGAGAGGCAUCUCUCGGCUUCCAAAGUUGGGGACCGCAAGGCCUGACACUUUACGAUGAGCCCGCAACCUAUCAGCUUGUUGGUGAGGUAAUGGCUUACCAAGGCAAAGACGGGUAGCUGGUCUGAGAGGACGACCAGCCACACUGGAACUGAGACACGGUCCAGACACCUACGGGUGGCAGCAGUCGAGAAUUUUUCACAAUGGGCGCAAGCCUGAUGGAGCGACGCCGCGUGGGGGAUGAAGGGCUUCGGUCCGUAAACCCCUGUCAUUUGCGAACAAUGCGCUUUACCUAAUACGUGAAGCGUUGAUAGUAGCGAAAGAGAAG
rnacentral:rRNA from 1 species